rnacentral:rRNA from 1 species
CCUACGGGAGGCAGCAGUGAGGAAUAUUGGUCAAUGGGCGGAAGCCUGAACCAGCCAAGUCGCGUGAGGGACUAAGGCCCUGCGGGUCGUAAACCUCUUUUGCCGGGGAGCAGUGGUCCGGACGCGUCCGGACCGGGAGAGUACCCGGAGAAAAAGCAUCGGCUAACUCCGUGCCAGCAGCCGCGGUAAUACAGAGGUCUCAAGCGUUGUUCGGAAUCACUGGGCGUAAAGCGUGCGUAGGCUGUUUCGUAAGUCGUGUGUGAAAGGCGCGGGCUCAACCCGCGGACGGCACAUGAUACUGCGAG